rnacentral:rRNA from 1 species
UACGUAGGUGGCAAGCGUUGUCCGGAUUUACUGGGUGUAAAGGGCGUGCAGCCGGAGAGACAAGUCAGAUGUGAGAUCCACGGGCUCAACCCGUGAACUGCAUUUGAAACUGUUUCCCUUGAGUGUCGGAGAGGUAAUCGGAAUUCCUUGUGUAGCGGUGAAAUGCGUAGAUAUAAGGAAGAACACCAGUGGCGAAGGCGGAUUACUGGACGAUAACUGACGGUGAGGCGCGAAAGCGUGGGGAGCAAACAGG